rnacentral:rRNA from 1 species
UACCUAGGGGGCAAGCGUUGUCCGGAUUUAUUGGGCGUAAAGAGCGUGUAGGCGGUUUGGUAGGUCCGUUGUGAAAACUCGAGGCUCAACCUCGAGACGCCGAUGGAAACCAUCAGACUAGAGUCCGGAAGAGGAGUGUGGAAUUCCUGGUGUAGCGGUGAAAUGCGCAGAUAUCAGGAGGAACACCGGUGGCGAAGGCGGGUCUCUGGGCCGAUAUUGACGCUGAGGAGCGAAAGCGUGGGGAGCGAACAGG